CAACUCCCAAAACUGUGCGCCAUGCAGGCCGCCGCCCCCGCAAUGUCCCCGCCUGCCGGCGCCAGUGCAUUGCCGCUGACGCUGCACGUGGCGCCGCGCGUGGAUCGGGCGACCAUAUACCAGAACAAGUCGCUGCAGCGCCGGUGCGCGCCUCUGUCGUUCAGCACACCGGUGAACGAGGUGCAGGUAAUGGUGCCGAUGCCAAAGAAAUUCGACGGGCAGUGCGGGUUCGAUGGCGACUCGGUGCAGGUGGAGUUCGGUGCCUCGUUUGACGGCAAAGUCAUCCUCGCCGGCGUGCUGGUGGAUGAGGUGGAACGCCGCUGCCUGCGCAGCGACGGGACGGUGGCAGUGGAGGCGACGCGGGCUGCAGAGGUGGCGAGCGCCAGCGACUCAGACGCGGACGGAGAAGGGGCAGGUGACACGUCAUCGGCGAACGCGCGUCGCAAGCUGGAGUCGCAGCUCCGUACGGUGAAGCAGAAGCUUCAACUCAACGAGAUUGCGCAAGCCGAGGCUGCCGCUGUGCGCGAUUACACUGUGGAUCGUGUAACGAGUGCGGUGGAGCCGUGCAAGGCCGCGCCGCUGAUGUGCACUGCUGCGCUGCAUGACCCGGAGAUGUGGGGCGCGCACCUCGACGCGUUGGAGAACGCAACGAGAGAGCACGCGAAGGCGAAGCGGGAGCUGCUGCGCGCCAAGGAGGCGCUCGAGGCUGAGAAGUCGGAGCUUGAGAUGAAGCUGUGCGUAGCCAACGGCGGGCAAAGCCCUCGCAGUGGCCGCAGCGAUGAAGCGGGGACGACAGUGGACGUGGUGGUGCUGACGCUCAAAGUUCUGAAGCCCGUUCCAGCCGGACCCGAGGCGGUGGUAUACGUGUCGUACAUGGUUCCGAGCGGCCGGUGGAACGCCGUGUACGAGGCGCACCUGAACACAGUGACGAACGAAGUGGUGCUGUACUACAACGCUGAAGUCGUUCUGAACUACGGUGAUGACUUGAAAGAUGUGUCAUUGACGCUAUCCUCCGCGGUUCCGAGACGGAAUGCUGCGUUACCGCCAGCCAUGACCAUCUGGCGCUGCGGCGUCGUGCAGCCGUCGCCGCCGACGCCCCAGUUCAUGAUGAGCCCAAACGCCGCCAUGGCCGACUGCGCGGACGACGGGAUCUGCUUUGCCUUGGCGGAGAGGGCGCCUGCCCGUUGCGCAGCGCCGAUGAUAAAGCGUGCCAUGGCGCAGGUGGAGCAGGCCGGUACCGGGGCCAUCAUGAACUUUGCCAUACCCAACCCGCAAACCGUGAUGGCGAACGGCAAGACGACGCGUCUUCCCUUGGCCGAGCUCCGGAUGCCUGCGGCGAUCAGCUACAUGAGCGUGCCCGAAAAGUCGCUGGCCGCCUUCACACACGCCAAGAUCACGAACACGAGCGACUUCUUGUUACUGCCCGGUGAGGUAGCCGUGUUCCUGGAUGGGAACUACGUUUUGCGGUCGCGUAUCGACAAGCAGUGCGCAUCAGGGAGUAAGUUGGACAUGUAUUUUGGUGCUGACCCAAGCGUGGAGAUAAAGCGAGUGCUGCUGCGUCAAGCAAACAAGGUGCAGAGCUCGUACUUGAAGGGAAAGAAGAACCAAGUGAAGACGUACGCGUACAGGAUUACGAUUCGUAACAAGAAACGUGCCACCGGCUCCGUAGACGGUGCCUUGCGCAUCAAGCUUGUGGAGCACAUUCCCAUCAGCAGUGAGGAGCUACUGCAGGUGCGGCUCGUUUCGCCAGCAAAGCCGCACGAAGACGUCUACAUUUACGACGAUGAGGAGGACAGGGUGGAACAGGAGCGGCGCAAGUUACGCCUGCUCAACAACGAAGGUAUUGUGGAGAUUGAGCGCAGGGUGCGUGCUGGCGAGAGCGUUGAGCUGGUUUUCGCGUUCGAAGUGGAGGCACCGAGCAACGCCACCAUAUACGGGCUGUGAGUCAGGGCCUCUCUAGCAGUUUAGUGCUUACGUGCCUGUAAGCACAUGCGCGGUGGCCUGGCAUACGGCGGAGAAAGAUAGGCUGUGAAAAUCAAAGCAAACCGCCGCGGCGACCAAGGUCCUUCUGGCCUCUGCCACGCCGCUAGUCAGCAUAGUGAGAUGACUUUCUGUAGUGUAACUCGCUUGAACUCCUCGUAGUAGCCGGGGAGAACAUAGCACGCGCACACGCACACUCGAGCAUGUGCAGGGGAUGCAACUACGUUGCCGGCGCCGUGUUCUCUGUUUCCUUUGCUCUUCUGGUGUUGAUACCGAGCAAUGCACACCCCAUCUUCCCACCGACCUGAGGCGGAUGCAGGCUGGUGUUUCGCUCUUCCUGCCCACUUCUUGCGUACAAACGUUUCUCCUCUUGCUGCGACACGUAAGAGUCGCAGCGGCGGGUUGGCAGGAGCUCCGUUCGCUGUCUUUGGUUUUUUUUGCGUUCGUUCCUCCCAUCUCUUGUGUCUCUUGUCUCUCACGUGUGUGCAUGUGUACGGACGCCUGCGCUAG
rnacentral:misc_RNA from 1 species